UGUUGCAGGGAGAAAUCCGCUGUAUACUCGCCAUUACCGAACGAAAGUUUAAGCGGCAUGUGCUGCCGUCGGCGGCGGGGCCGCUGAAAAGCGGUUUUUUU
rnacentral:sRNA from 1 species